rnacentral:rRNA from 1 species
UACGUAGGGGGCAAGCGUUGUCCGGAAUUAUUGGGCGUAAAGCGCGCGCAGGCGGUUAUGUAAGUCUGAUGUUAAAGCCCGGGGCUCAACCUCGGUUCGCAUUGGAAACUGUGUAACUUGAGAGCAGAAGAGGAAAGUGGUAUUCCACGUGUAGCGGUGAAAUGCGUAGAGAUGUGGAGGAACACCAGUGGCGAAGGCGACUUUCUGGUCUGUAACUGACGCUGGGGCGCGAAAGCGUGGGGAGCAAACAGG